CAUGGAGUAGUUCAGUGGCAGAUCACCCGGCUUGGGACCGGGAAGGCGCGGGUUCGAUUCCCGCCUCCAUGUCCU
rnacentral:tRNA from 1 species